AUGGAUUCUGCCCUGGGCAGAGGAGCCCUUGGAGGGGCUCUGUCCGGGGAUGGAGGGGACAGCUCACCCCUGCUGCCCUUCAAAGCCUCCAGCUGGCACUGGACGUGUUUUCUCCAGCCUAGGCCAGACCCAAAGUCCAGCCCCAGGGUCCCAGCAAUGCACCAAGGUGCAGGGAUGAGCUCCAGAGUCAACUCUGGGACACAAACGUCAAAGUGGAAACAUCUCUGGGUAUCACUGGCCAAAAUGGGGCAGCAGCUGAGUGCUCCAGGCAAGGCCAGGGGUGAGCUAGGUCCACCAAACCUGGCUUUUCCUGCUAUCCUUCCCACCAAACCUGGCUUUCCCUGCUGUCCUUCCCACCAAACCUGGCUUUACCUCCGUGUCCUUCCCACCAAACCUGGCUUUUCCUUCUGUCCUUCCAACCAAACCUGGCUUUUCUCCAUGUCCUUCCCACCAAACCUGGCUUUCCCUCCGUGUCCUUCCCACCAAACCUGGCUUUACCUCCGUGUCCUUCCCACCAAACCUGGCUUUCCCUGCUGUCCUUCCCACCAAACCUGGCUUUUCCUUCUGUCCUUCCAACCAAACCUGGCUUUACCUCCAUGUCCUUCCCACCAAACCUGGCUUUUCUCCGUGUCCUUCCAACAAAACCUGGCUUUUACUUCUGUCCUUCCCACCAAACCUGGCUUUCCUUGCCGUCCUUCCCACCAAACCUGGCUUUCCCUCCGUGUCCUUCCCACCAAACCUGGCUUUUCUCCGUGUCCUUCCCACCAAACCUGGCUUUUCCUGCUGUCCUUCCCACCAAACCUGGCUUUUCUCCGUGUCCUUCCAACCAAACCUGGCUUUUCCUUCUGUCCUUCCCACCAAACCUGGCUUUCCCUGCUGUCCUUCCCACCAAACCUGGCUUUUCCUCCGUGUCCUUCCCACCAAACCUGGCUUUUCCUUCUGUCCUUCCAACCAAACCUGGCUUUUCUCCAUGUCCUUCCCACCAAACCUGGCUUUCCCUCCGUGUCCUUCCCACCAAACCUGGCUUUACCUCCGUGUCCUUCCCACCAAACCUGGCUUUCCCUGCUGUCCUUCCCACCAAACCUGGCUUUCCCUCCGUGUCCUUCCCACCAAACCUGGCUUUCCCUCCGUGUCCUUCCCACCAAACCUGGCUUUUCCUGCUGUCCUUCCCACCAAACCUGGCUUUUCUCCGUGUCCUUCCCACCAAACCUGGCUUUUCCUUCUGUCCUUCCCACCAAACCUGGCUUUUCUCCGUGUCCUUCCCACCAAACCUGGCUUUUUCUUCUGUCCUUCCCACCAAACCUGGCUUUCCCUGCACAUACAGAUGAUUUCUUUCCUGUUUACAAACCCUGA
rnacentral:lncRNA from 1 species